GUCCAAGGCAGAAGGCCGUGCGUCAGGGCGGCCCUCAGCGGAGAUGCCUGCACGGAGCGGGGAGCGCCGCUCGGGGCAGGGAAUGAAAGCGGCGCUUGAGACUGGAAAUUUAGGGAGAUGAGUUCCUUGGGAACAACGCUGAACCAUCUCACUGCCCCACCCUACCCCUUGUUAUUUUUUUUUUGAGACAGGUCUCGCGCUGUCGUCCAGUCUGAGUGCAGUGACGCGGUCACGGCUCACUGCAGCCUCGACCUCCGGGGCUCACGAGUCGUCCCACCUCAGCCCUCUGAGUAGCUGGCACCACGGGCAUGCACCACCACACCCGGCUAAUUUUUUUUAAAAAGUUUUUCCGGAGAUAGGGUCUCGCUGUGUUACCCAGGCUGGUCUCGAACCCCUGGCCUGAAGCGAUCCUCCCGCCUCGGCCUCCUAAAGUGCUGGGAUUACAGGCGUGAGCCACUGCACUCGGCUUUUCACUCCUUUCUAACGUUUUCCAUACCCAGCGGUGCCCUGCCCACCCUCUCUUUAUCUCUCACUUUUCCCUUCUCUGUUUCUUCCUCGCUGAAGUCCAUUGGUGAAAGAAAAUUCAUGUGAAAGUUCUGGAUGUGAAUAAAGGUCUCAGAGUCGUCCUUGUCUACUCCACUACCAAAUGUUGAAGUUCUUCAAGAAUCAGUCCUUUGGAGGCAUUUAAGGAAAUCUGUUUCUCUUUUGGAUCACUAGCUGCAAAUUAAGCUAACAGAACAGAAGCUCAGCUGGUCACACACAGCAACAAAUACAGACUUUAUAAAGUUCAGAAAAGUUACCAAACAGUGGUAACCAUAACAAGUACCAACAAUGAACUAUGGGGAGGGAGGAGAAUCUGAUUUCCAGAGUUACCACAUUAUAAUACUAUUCAAAAUGUCACAUUUUUAGCAAAGAUUACAGGACAAGGAAAAACCAGAAAAGUAUGGCCCAUACACAGGUAAAAAAAGAAAUUAAUAGAAACUACCCCUGAAGAAGCACAGACUUCGGAUGUACAAAACAAAGACUUUUCAUCAACUCUUUUAGAUAUGCUAGAAGAGCUAAAGGAAACCAUGGACAGAGAACAAAAAAAUUAGGAAAGCAAUGUCUCAUCCAAUACAGAAUAUCAAUAAAGAGAUUGAAAUUGUAGAAAAGAACCAAAUAGAAAUUCUGGAGUUGAAAAGUAUUAUAACUAAAACUGAAAAUUCACUGGAGGUAUUCAGCAGCAGACUGGAGAAGUCAGAAGAAAGAAUCAACAGGCUUCAAGAUAGGUCAAUUAAGAUUAUACAGUCUGAGGAGCAGAAAGGAAAAAGAAUGAAGAAAAAUGAACAGAGCAUAAAAGACUUCUGGGACUCUAUCAAGCAUACCAGUAUAUGCAUGAGGGGAGUCCCAGAAGGAGAAGAAAGAGAGAAAGGGACAUAAUAUUUGAAGAAAUAAUGGUAGAAAAUGUCCCAGCUUUGAUGAAAUACAUGAAUCUAGAUAUUCAAGAGGCUCAAAGAACCCUAAAUAGGGUAAACUCAAAAAGACCCACACCGGAAUGCAAAAGUGAGCUGGGUGUGGUGGCACGUGCCUGUGGUCCCAGCUACUCGAGAGGCUAAGGCAGGAAAAUCACUUGAACCCAGGAGGCAGAGAUUGCAGUGAGCCGGGAUUGCGCCAGCGCACUCCAGCUGGGCGACAGAGCGAGAUUCCAUCUCGAAAAAAAAAAAAAAAAAAAACUAUUGCUGCAGUCAUUCAGAUGGAAAUGGGGAAAGAAUAAUAUUAACUGAUUUCAAAAAGGACUUGAAGAUGUGAAUCAUCUAUUUUGCUGAAGAAAUCUUAACUCUUUGAAAUUACUUUUUGUUGCUGUUGUCAUACUCUUAGGUGCCAAACUGCGGUAAAUUUUUAAUCAGUGAAGUGGAAGCAUGUGUUUUGUUGUUUUGGGAAUUUUUAUCAAGUAUCUUCAGAGAAGAUUAUUUCCUGCUUUGUCUUCAAAAACUGGAAAGGAAGGGUCAAAGAAAAGACAGUAGCUGGCCGGUCAUGGUGGCUCAUGCCUGUAAUCCCAACACUUUGGGAGGCUGAGGCGGGCAGAUCACCUGAGGUUGGGAGUUCGAGGCCAGCCUGACCAACGUGGAGAAAUGCCAUCUCUACUAAAGAUGCAAGGAUUGGCCGGGCGUGGUGGCCGCGUGCCUGUGAUCCCAGCUGCUCAGGAGGCUGAGGCAGGAGAAUCGCUUGGACCUGGGAGGUGGAGGUUGCGGUGAGCUGAGAUCACGCCAUUGCACUCCAGCCUGGGCAACAAGCGAAACUCUGUCUCAAAAAAAGAAAAGACAGUAGCUUAUGUUCAUGUCAAGCACCUCUCAUCACAGUCUAGUUCCAAGGAAAAAUUCCAGCAUUUUCUACAUUGGGUGCUGCGUCAUCUGAAAUCGGCACAUUCCGUGGAGGAAGGAGUCCUGCUUUGUUGCAUGUAUCCUAGGGUUUAAUGUUGGUAAAUGAGUCACUCUAGCAUUUGUAGAAGGCUCCCUGAGACUCCUGCAGCAGUCGACCAAGCCCAAGGACAUAAUUGAAUCUGGAGAGUCCUGGGGCCUUGUUUUGAAAAAGACUUGAAAUACACAUAGGAAGAAAGGC
rnacentral:antisense_RNA from 1 species